UGGUCAGUGAUGACUAGCCCACUGCGCAAUCUGAGUUCAAAAUGAACUUUACUGAUGGAAUCAGUGCUGGAAAACAAGUCUGAGGCCA